AUGACACUUUUUCCCAGGCUGAGGUAUACAUGUAUAUUUUCAUUAAGAAAAAUGAUAUUGCUGGUUGUGGCAGUGCAUGCCUUUAAUUUCAGCACUCUGGAGGCUGAGGCAGGAGGAUUGCUUAGUGUUGGAGGCCAGCCUGGGCUACAAAGUGAGUUUAAGGCCAGCCUGAACUGCAUAGUGAGACCCUGUCUCAAAAGAAACCAAAAAAAGGUAUUACGCCAUAUGAAGCAGUUUUUGGUUUCUAAAAAAAAAGGCAUCUUACGAAACAGGUUGGCAUCCUCGCACCUGUCGUUUUUUCAACCCGCAAGAAAGCCUGCGUACAGCACACGAGGCGCAGCCAGGCAGCCAUCACCCGCGACAGACCAGCAACCUCUUCAAAGGCCUCUCCUGCAGUUGCAUGCUCGUAGUGCAGAGUGAUUACACUCGUCGUGGACGUCUCCUUUCCUUUUCGUGUGCUGCUGAGCGUGGAAUCCAGACCCUGGUUGUGUGAACUUACCCCGGAGCUAGAUGCCCCGCCCCUAAUUCUCUCUGCAGCGGGCUGAGAUUGUCAAGCUGGAUGUACACGUCAGAAAAGUGAACUUCAGAGGGGCUGAAGUCCGCUGUGCGAUUUUCGAAGACUGACCCUCCUGCUUCAAAUAAUUACUAAAUGAAUGAGAGAGGCCGAGUAGAACAUCGCUUGUCUAAGGUCACUGGCAAAGUCAGCGCUCGCGCGGGCGCUCCCGGCUGUGCUUUUUCAGGCAAUCACGUGUUAAUCAAGCACCCGACUGCUGGAGAGUAGCAAUCAUAGACCUUACUCCGAUCCCUUAUCUACCUUUCAGGAAAUACAGCUAUAUAGUAUUUGAAAGAGACGCUCCUUGUUUGUGGGGAUCGGUUUCGAGACGUCUUAAUUGUGUGUAAUCAACCCAAAUAAAUAAAUAUUUACCAGCGCUUGAGACAUUUUAAAAUUCUAGUAUAGGUAGUACCAGACACAUAAGAGGGAAUUGAUACAUACUUGAUACUUUUGUUCAAUUUAUAUUAUGGAAGGGUCCGGCACUGGGGAGGCUGAGGCAGGAGGAUCGCUGAGAGUUCGAGGCCAGCCUGGGCUAGAAAAUGAGUUCAAGGCCAACCUGAACUGCAUAGUGAGACCCUGUCUCUAAAAGAAAAAAUAAUUUUUUUUAUACGGAAGGGAAUGUAUCCUUCCUUCCCUCUCUGCCAGUUCUGUGCUUCAGGACCAAAAUACUGUGAGGCCACCAGAGGGUAUCAUGACACUGUCUUUACUUACUGUAUUUUUUUUUAACCUCACAAUAACCUUGUGUCAAAGUCUUUACAAUCUACAUGUUUUAUUCCAAAGCAUUUUGUUGUCAAAGUAAACACAAAAUCUUUCCCCUCCCACCCAGUGACUUACUUUUAAAGAAUUAUAUGGCUUGCCACUUAGAAAAGCAGUACAGUGUUUACAUGUCCUGUAACAUAAUCACAAAGAGGCACUUUAAAACUCUUUGUAGAGGCUGGGCAUGGUGGCACAAGCCUGUAAUCCCAGCACUGGGGAGGCUGAGGCAGGAGGAUCGCUGCGAGUUCGAGGCCAGUCUGGGCUACAAAGUGAGUGUAAGGCCAGCCUGAACUGCAUAGUGAGACCCUGUCUCAAAAAGACCAAAAAAAAAAAAAAAAAAAUAGCUCUUUGGUUAGUCAGAUGAUGAAUCCCAGUUUUACACUGAAGUUUCCUUUUCCUCCGGUGUCAAGGGAGGUGGCAGCUGGAGUAAAAUCUGGAAAUGUUAAGAGUACCAAUUUGUAGAGUCUGUUAAAUCCCAGUGCACAUUUUUCUUAGGAGUAAUCAUCGUUGUUCUACAAUUCUGCUUAGGAGUAAUCAAUCUUUUUUUUUUUUUUUUUUUGUAUCGGGAAUGGAACCUUGUGCUUGCCAGGCAGGCCCUGUGCGGCUGAGCUAUCUCCCCAGCCCCUCAAUCUUCUUUUAGGUUACACUUGUAGCAUAGCUUAAUUUUGUUCCUUGAUUUAAAAAGGGAUACCCUAGGAGGCUGAGGCGGGAGGAUCAUGAGUUCUAGCCCGGUCAAUUUAUAGAUUUAGCCGCUGAUUUUUGUUUUUAUAAAGCAUGUUUCCUACAAAAUGAACAUAAUAGAAAAGUUUAAAGAACAAAAGAAAAUUUUAACAUCAACCCCCAAGUCUGAGCCGAUCAAUGACAGCAUUUUGCAUGUCUUUCUGUUGUUUUUAUACCUGCAUACCUAUAUACUUUUCUCAAAAUUAGAACACUAUUGUUCAUGUUGUUUUGUAAUAGCUUUCCCCCUAGUUAAUACAGCAUGGAAGUUCUUUGUGCUAUUGAAAUAUUAGGCCUGGCAUGGUGGCACACACCUGUAAUCCCAGCAGUGGGGAGGCUGAAGCAGGAGGAUGGCCAUGAGUUCAAAGGCAGCUGGUCUACACAGUGAGGUUAAGGCCAGCCUAAACUACAUAGCAAGACCCUGUCUCAAAAAAUCAAAGAAAAAAUGAGAUGUUAAAAAUAUUUUACCAAGUUGCCCAUGGUGGCACAUGCCUGUAAUCCCAGCACUUGAAAGGCUGAGGCAGGAGGAUUACCAUGAGUUCCUGGCCAGCCUGGAUUACAUAGCAAGUUUAAGGCCAACCUGGACUACAUACCAAGACUCUGUCUCCAGAAAUAAAUAUGCUUCGCCAAUUAGGUAAAUAAAAUGUAGUUUGCAUUUUAAUAUCUAUUUCUGUGACACUGAAUAUUUUCUCAUGUGUUUAUCUCUCUCACAUGUCAUAAUUUUUUUCGGCCACCUGAGUUCUGGGAUUACACGCAAGCACCACCAUGCCGACAAUUCUUUUG
rnacentral:lncRNA from 1 species